AGUGAACGCUGGCGGCAGGCCUAAUACAUGCAAGUCGAACGGCAGCACAGCAGAGCUUGCUCUGUGGGUGGCGAGUGGCGGACGGGUGAGGAAUACAUGGGAAUCUGCCCAGUCGUGGGGGAUAACGUAUGGAAACGUACGCUAAUACCGCAUGCGCCCUACGGGGGAAAGCCGGGGACCGCAAGGCCUGGCGCGAUUGGAUGAGCCCAUGUUCGAUUAGCUAGUUGGCGGGGUAAAGGCCCACCAAGGCGACGAUCGAUAGCUGGUCUGAGAGGAUGAUCAGCCACACUGGAACUGAGACACGGUCCAGACUCCUACGGGAGGCAGCAGUAGGGAAUAUUGGACAAUGGGGGCAACCCUGAUCCAGCCAUGCCGCGUGAGUGAAGAAGGCCCUCGGGUUGUAAAGCUCUUUUGUCCGGAAGAAAAGCAAUCGGUUAAUACCCGGUUGUUCUGACGGUACCGGAAGAAUAAGCACCGGCUAACUUCGUGCC
rnacentral:rRNA from 1 species